ensembl:snoRNA
AAGACUAUACUUUCAGGGAUCAUUUCUAUAGUUCGUGACUAGAGAAGUUUCUCUGAUCGUGUAGAGCACCCGAAACCACGAGGAGGAGACGUAGCGUUUUCUUCUGAGCGUGAAGUAGGCGUCUGGUGCUGCUUGUGCAGCUGCCAUCUGCCGUUGAUGAUCGUUCUUUUUCUCUCGUUUGAGAGAAUAAGAGGGAGAAAACGCCGUCUGAGUGGUU